UCAUAGUUAGUAGAGUAUAUAUUUAACUUCCAAUUAAAAGACCCCAUUAUAUUAUGGGACUAUGAA
rnacentral:tRNA from 1 species